GGUAAAAGAGAUAGCCCAUUAUUACUGUGGAAUCUUGAUUAACCACACAAAUAGAAAAACUAAAUACUAUAAUGAGAGAUGCAUUACCAGCAAGAUUAAAACUCCAAAUCACAUUAAGAUAUUUGACAUCUGGAGACUCAUUUGUUUCUUUGCAAUACUUAUACAUAGUACCAAAAUGUACCAUUUUAAAAUUUUUACCUGAAGUGUGAUUAAUAUAUAGUUGCUAAAAAAUUACAUAAAAGUUCCAAAUACCCAAAAAGAAUUGAAUGAUAUAAAAAAAGGAUUUUCAAUUAGAUGGAAUUUUCCUGGUUGUGAUGGAGCCCUGGAUGGCAAACAUGUAGUUUUAAGAGCACCGUUCGAACUUUUAUAAUUAUAAAGGCUCAUUUAACAUUA